rnacentral:rRNA from 1 species
AGCGAACGCUGGCGGCAGGCCUAACACAUGCAAGUCGAACGGAUCCUUCGGGAUUAGUGGCGGACGGGUGAGUAACACGUGGGAACGUGCCCUUUGGUUCGGAACAACUCAGGGAAACUUGAGCUAAGACCGGAUGUGCCCUUCGGGGGAAAGAUUUAUCGCAAUUGGAGCGGCUCGCGUCUGAUUAGCUAGUUGGGGAGGUAAAGGCUCACCAAGGCGCCGAUCAGUAGCUGGUCUGGGAGGAUGAUCAGCCACAUUGGGACUGAGACCCGGCCCAAACUCCUGCGGGAGGCAGCAGUGGGGAAUCUUGCGCAAUGGGCGAAAGCCUGACGCAGCCAUGCCGCGUGAAUGAUGAAGGUCUUAGGAUUGUAAAAUUCUUUCACCGGGGACGAUAAUGACGGUACCCGGAGAAGAAGCCCCGGCUAACUUCGUGCCAGCCGCCGCCGUAAAAC